CCUACGGGAGGCAGCAGUGAGGAAUAUUGGUCAAUGGGCGAGAGCCUGAACCAGCCAAGUCGCGUGAGGGAGUACUGCCCUAUGGGUUGUAAACCUCUUUUGUCGGGGAGCAAAAGCCGGACGUGUCCGGCUGUGAGAGUACCCGAAGAAAAAGCAUCGGCUAACUCCGUGCCAGCAGCCGCGGUAAUACGGAGGAUGCGAGCGUUAUCCGGAUUUAUUGGGGUUAAAGGGUGCGCAGGCGGAUUUUUAAGUCAGCGGUCAAAUCGUGGGGCUCAACCCCAUCCAGCCGUUGAAACUGGGGAUCUAGAGUGUGCGAGAGGUAUGCGGAAUGCGUGGUGUAGCGGUGAAAUGCAGAGAUAUCACGCAGAACCCCGAUUGCGAAGGCAGCAUACCGGUGCACAACUGACGCUCAGGCACGAAAGCGUGGGUAUCGAACAGGAUUAGAUACCCUAGUAGUC
rnacentral:rRNA from 1 species